UUUGUUAUGCAGCCACUGUUAUACUGAGCCCACACUGUUGUAGCAUGCAUAUGAGUCAAUCUUCUUGUGUCUUGUGUUUUAUCACCGUUUUAACCGAUAUAGAAUACAGUGUGAAAUGUUUUGGAGGAAAAUGUUUUGAACUAGUACAGACAGACAACAGGAAUUAAAAAUUGGAGUCACUGCUUUACCCUGAUCUGGGUUUCGGUGGAUCUGGAGCCUAUCCCAUGAACACUGGGUGUGAGGCCGGAAUAAUCCCUAGAUGGGACAACACAGGCUAUAAGAAGAAUCCUAAAUGUUUUUGAACUAGGUAUCAGUUUUAUAUUUGCAUUUGGCUUCAGAUAUUUUUUUUUUCUAAAUCUAAAGCAGCAGGCCUUUUGAGAAAUAAUUAAACUGCUCAUUUGGUCUUUAAUACAGCAAAACUUUGAUUUCUGCACAAGAAUGACAGUAAAUUCCCAUAUGUGCUACAGACGUGUGGUCUAUUGCGAAACACAUAUUUAAGCUUUUCCAUAUGAUGUAUAUGGAAUUUCCCAUUAUGACUCAGAAAUUCAAAAGAAAAAGUACUUGCAGAACAAGAAAAGUAUGUAAGGUUUAUGUUCAUAAUGACUAAAUUACUUAUGUAAUUAAUUAAUGAGAGGGGAAUAAUUGGCAUUCUGGCUCAUAGCCACUCUGCACAUCUGAUAAUGGCUAAAAAUUGUGCUUAGUAAGUACAGGUGUCUAACAAGAAUGGCCACUCUCUUCUGAAUGUAGUAUGAUUUCUUGCAGUUGUACUCGAUUUCAGUUCCGUAGGGGUUUGCAGGAAGUGCUAUUUGGGUUGAGUAUGUUAAGCCUUGCAGGUGUGGCGAGCUCUACCUACUCUUGUUACCUGGGCCCUUGUGAAGUGUUGUGCAGUCUUGACAGAAAGCCAGGCAUUUGCAGGUCUGAGCAGAAGCUGCUGUUUUACACUGGAUUGGUGUCCAUUACCAUCCCAACCCCUCUAAACUUAAGCAUUUUGCUCUGAAAACAGCAUAUACAGUCAACAUCAUUGUAGUCUGUCUCCUGUGGGUCUGGAUGUAUAACAACUCUCCACAAACACUACACACCGCCUUUCAAAUGCCACUAGGCUACAUAAUCCUUUACUUACAGUGUAGUGAGCGUUACAAACUGUCUAUGUUUGUGGGAUGAUCAAGAAAAUUAGUGCAAAUGUGUCAAAUAAAUGCAAGGCUCUUCUCUUUGUGUUUAAAAAAAUUGUUGUGCUUUAUUGUAGGUUAAUAUUACAACGCAUAUGUUACAAAUAAUAACAAUUAAGUGAGACAGCUUCAGUUGUGUAUGGUAAUCGACGAAGAGACAGAGCCAAGCGCCAUCAGGGGGCUUGUGUGGUUGUUAUUCCUCCCUUCCAGAUGUAAUAUUUUUUUCCACAAGGCCACAGCAUUAAACUCCCAAAACAAAGUUCUGUAAUGCACUGACUGCAAACAAUUAGAGCCAGAGUGUAUCACAGAACUUUACUUGGAAAGCCACAGAAGAGCUGGCUAAUCCUCUCCUCCUAUAGGACUUCUCGUCUUCCCACUAUCAGAAUCAGGGGGGUAAAAGCACAUGUUAAAAGUUCUCUAAAUCAUUCAAACUGCAUGUAACAUUGCUCUUCUUAUCUAGUAACAGUCACAUACUUAUUCAACACUGUCCUGAAAAUGAAACGAGCACCUUAAAAGACAUUUUUUAAUAACCGUUAUCUUCAUAAGCAGUAGGAUGGAACAAAGCUAGAAACUAAAAUAUGGCUGAGCAGGAGUUGAGAGAGGCCUAUAAUGAUGGUAAGAGGCUUAUUAUGAUUAUAAUGAUAAAAUAGG